GCUUACGGCCACACCGCCUGGUUCACGUCCCGAUCUCGUUUGAUCUCGGAAGCUAAAAUAGGUUGGGCCUGGUUAGUACUUGCAUGGGGAGACUGCCUGGGAAUACCAGGUGCUGUAAGCU
ensembl:rRNA 5S_rRNA 5S ribosomal RNA